CAUAUUACGCACAUAUUACAACGUUCCAACAAAAUCGCUAUCAAAUAAUAUACGGAAAAAAAAAAAAUUGAAACACACACGCUGUCAAAAUACUCCGGAGCAAAGAACCAGAGUUUCUUCUUCACACGCUUCACUUUACUCCGCAAAACUCUUCCACUGUCAACACUUACCUUCUCACGGCGAAACCCACAGCGGCGAUUUCCCUUCUCACGGAGGAGAAUUCCCUUCUCACGGCGGCGUGAUCCCUUCUCACAUCGAAACCCAUGGAGGCGUGCUUCCCUUCUCACGGCGAGAGUGAAUAAUAGAAUUUGAAGUCUUUUAUCCAGGUCAUAGCAUACCUCUAAUUUCAUGAAUGUUCUCACCGCUUUUGGAUUCCAUAUCCUCAACGAAGCAUCAUAUGGGUUCAUGUCAUUCAAGCAAGUAUUGGGUGAAGCAGCGAAUUUGGAAAAAGCUUUUGUUAUCUUAGGGGUAAGGUUGCGUACAUUCGAUUUCCGACCAAGGUAAUUGGAAAUAGCCUAUAGGGGUAAGGUUGUAUACAAAUUAUUUGCCUUAACCUGGCCAUGGCGAGAGCGCGUUAGGGUAACAUUGGUAUUUGAAACAAUUGGUUGAGCAUAAGAGUUUGUGUUUUUUGAUUGGUUGUAAUGGUGCAGAUAUUGGCUGGCCUCUUGAAAACAAAUGAUGGGAAUGUUUAUGUUAAGAAGCCAAAAAACUUUGUAUUCCAGAACCCAGAUCAUUGGGUUAGUUUUGGGUCUUGUGGCUGGCUUAUUUUGUAUGAAUAAAGUGAUGUUUGUGCUUGGUUUUGUUGCUGCAUUAGUUAAUGAUCUCAUCUUCGCAAGUUCUCCAUUUCACGUGUGAUCAUAAGAUCAUCUAUAUGAGCCUUAUUAUAUGUUGAGUAUAAGAAUCAUAACUAUGAUACUGGGAAAGUAUUCAUGUCUGAUCAUAGCUGAAAUAUGUCACUUUUGAAUUAAGACCAAAGAUUUACUUGAAUUCCUGGAUUUACGCAUACAUCUGAAUCUGAUUCUAAUGCUGGAGGCCUAGUAAAUUUUAAUUGUAAAGAACGAAAUAUCAAUGAUCUGUUAUAUGUGAUGAAGAAUCAGAUGGUCGCUUGGAGAACUAAAUGCAUUUGAAAGUCAUGAAUAUGCUCGAAAAUAAUUUAUGUAAAGACGAAAUUGAUGUGUUGAUACUUCAAAGGUCUCUCCUAUGUUGUGGAUGCUGGCAAGAAUAUUUGUUAAGAUAUGCGGAGUUUAAUAACUAUUUGAGUUAUACCAAAACCAGGAACUUUGACCACCAUUUCUGAUGAUUAUUAAUCUUAUUGUUUCUUAGUUUUUUCUCCUUAAUCCAUAGGUUUCGUUUUAUGUAUCUUACUGAGUUCCUAGUUUGCAGUUGACGUAUAGAGGAGUCACUUGCAAAUCUGCCUAACAGUGAUUGCUUCUGUUCGGUUUGAAAAUCUGUUAGUGUGUAAUUCUCUGUUAAGCUUCUCAAAUAAAAAAAAAUACUCCUUAGGUUUCUGUCCUUCUUGUCAGAGACCGAGUAUUGGCAAGUAAAACUAUAAAAAAAUGAAGGAUCCAAAUCAGCGGCUUGGUUUAUUGAAUACCGAAUAGAUCAUAACUUGUGUAUGGUAUUGGUUGCUGAGGCUUUCCAGUUUCCAUUAUGUAUUUCAUAGAUUUUUUUGUUUUUUUACAGACAUGAGAGUGUAAUCCGGGAAAAACACUAGCAUGGAACUUUCUAUCUCUAUUUACUACUUCAGGCUAGCUGUUUCUAGAAGUGAGUUUGAUUGCUUUUCUUCUUCAAGGAAAUUAUGCAAGUGAGACAGAAGCUUUGACUCGUACUUUUUCCAUCUCUGCAAUCCUAGUUGGUUUCGAUCAUAUAAUACUCACAAUAUAUAGGUUGUGAGUAUUAUGUGAUUUCAUUAUUUGGUUCUUAAAUUUUCCAGAUUUCUGUAGUAGUUGAAGUGUUCAUACGUCUUGUAGCCGGAGAGUUCAGAGAUCUCCUAAACUUUGGAAACCAAAGUCAAGCAAUAUUUUUGUAACAAGUAGUAGUUGCGGGAUCCUAUUUCCUUAGUCGGUGAUCCGUACAACCCCGUCAUAUCUACAAGAGUGAAAAAGGGAAUAAUAUCAACAAAUACUAGCUGUGAAAUAUUCGUUGUUCUUGUUUUGCUGUGUAUGUGUGUCAAACUGUAGAUAAAUCAGAGAAUGAAGGUGCAGGGCAUGUCCGCAAGUAUCUAAGUUAAAGGAUUGGUUCGUACUGCAUAAUUUAGUAACUAAACUGAUGGCACAUUUUUGUAUGUCGUGUGGCCAUCAGUUUUGUGAUGGAUAAUUUUAGAUCUGAUUAGUCUUGGAUUUUUGUUCUAUGUUGUUCUUUUAAUUGCAAUUUUCUAAUUCUUGGGGAUGUAUAGUCAGGACAACAGUUAACUUUGUAUUGAGAAUAUUUCCAAUUUGUAUUUAUGAUGUUUAAUCUUGUUUCUACAUCCCUUUUGAAUGGCCUUUUCUCAUAUUCUACUGCUUUUAGAUAAUGUUGUUUCUUCUUUCGCUGCAGUUGUUACACUCUUGUUGGCGACUUGGUGUUGUUGUAUUAUUAUGAAUUAUCUUCGAUCUAUGCUUUUGUUGCAGUGUAUAUAUAUUGAAAUCAUUUCUUGUUCCUGUGCUGCAAUGGAUAUUGCCUGAUCAGUGCCCUCAUAUUAUGUAUUAAGAAGUACGCAAAUAUGGAGUGGGUUUGGCUCUUUAUUCAACAAUGCGAAAAGUUCUGAUACAGCUCAUCUAUGUAAGUGUGUGUUUUCUUUCAAACUCUAGUAGUAACAAUCUGCACCUCAAAUUUUGUUUCUUGGCUAAAUAUUAUACCGGAGUAAUCAGCUUAAUAUAGUGUUGACACGAUAUGAAUUUUGUGAAAUGUGGCUAUUUUUUAUUUUAUAGAUGAAUCACAAUUCACUCAUUGACUGUGUAUCUCACAACUCACUAGUUGAUUCUUUUAUCCUUAAAGAAGCAUGGUUGUUCCGUUUCCUUAAUUUUUCCGUGUGAGAUGUUAGUGAUGAGAGAAAUCCAAGGAGAAGAUGCUACAAUGUUAGAAAACGAGAGAGUCAAGUUGUUAGGUAAGGGUUUAAAUUUUGAUUCUUUGAUAAUAGAAUAGCAAUGCACUAAAUUUCUUCUAACUCUUACUGGAGUUUAGCAUUCAGAUUUAUUAAAAGUAGUUGUUGGUGCUACUGCUUGCAUUCAGUAUCAGAUCAGUAAUUCAUUUAGUAGUACAACUUAAUAUGUUUCUGGAACUCUAUAUAAAUAACAUAUAUUGAGUGUGGCACUUUGCCUUAUACCGAUGAAUGAAGUUUGCAGCAAAAAUCAGAGAACAAUUAGUACAACUCGAUGACUCUAAGUCCUAACCGUAUGUUUGAAUUAAGGUGAUUUUGAAAAGAAUAAGGCACUAUUAUUCUGAACUUUGUUUGGCGAAACUGAAUUGCAUUGGAAUUAAAAUAAAGUCGAAAACAACAGGGUCUAAGAGGGUUAUUUUCUCUUCGAAAGGGUGACUUUAAUCGAAUAUUAGGUGGCCUUUUGACAGAAUAUAGACUGACUUGCUUCAUUCUAUUUUACCUGUCUAAUCCUUUGUGAAACCUACUCCAGGAUUUUGUUUGGUGAAUUGGAUAUGAAGUAAAAUGUCUGCCUGUUUGCAGCCAAUGGAAUAAAUAGAAACACAGUAGACAAACAAACUCUAGUCUGUAUAGAAAAUAUACAUCCUUUGCCGAAAAUGUAAAAUAGUAUGUUUAGAGGAAAGAAUCUUACACAAAUAUCCAAUAAGAUACACUGAAAUAGACGGACAUUUAAAUCAAAGAUACUCUGAAAUUCAAGAACUAGGGAGUAAUUUAGAAGAAUUUGAUGUUUUCCUGAAUAUGAAGUUAUCACAUUUGUCAAAGGUCUUUUGUGGAAUAAAGUCUUGGCUUUUUUUUAUUUUGUUUGAUAUCUAUCCAUGCAGGAGUCUAUGGAAAUGGAUGCUGGCUAUUGUUUCUUGAAGUCUAGAAGACUGAAUGUUAGGAUGAGAUUGUUUGAGGGUGCCAUUUUUUUUUGUCCUGGUAUACUGAUUCCUGUUCCGGUGACCUUUGUACUAAUAUUCUCUAAAGCGUGAGAUCAUUGUUGUUUUAACUAAUUUUGCGCCAAGUUUGGACAGGAGGUUUACUUAUGCUGCUGCAUGUUUGUGGUUUUUAUUAGUGAUACGUUUUGUGUGGAUUCAGAAUUAGAAUGUUUUUGCUAAUGAAUAUGCUUGAGAUGUCUUGUGGGAACUAAGGUUCUCAAGUUGACUUGCUUAGUAGUAUACAAAGGGUUAGCUUGUAACAGAUGUUACUAGAGCACUCAUCUAUACACGGUUACACUUUUAAGUGUCCAACUCACCUGUAUAACUGUAUUCCAUGUUUGGUCCAAAAUGUGAGCACAACUAAACUUGACACUUCUCGAGUUCAGCUUCGGCACAUAUUUAGAAUUUAGUAUCUUUUUCCUUUUUUUUGUUCAACUCCUACGUUAUCUACCUAGUGUUUCGAAAUGUUGAUUUUGAUUUGUGUAUAAUUGACCUAGUUUUCCCCUUGUGACCCAAGCAAGCUCAUGGUUACUACUGCUGAUUCCCAGGUCCGGAUACUUAAAGGGGUUAAUGUACUAUGUAAAUAUAAAGUCUUCGAAAUGAAGGAAGCCAAAUCUCAGAUGGAAAACACAUUGUCUUGGUGAGUGAAGACUCUUCUGUUUAUGUAUGGGACUCCAAUAAAUCAGACACAGGUCGCACAACAAUUUCAUCUCACUUCCAAAUGUGAAAUUCAUUUUUUUUUUCUUCAUGUAUUGCACUUAAUGUUAAUAUAUUUUUUUUCCUUCUAUAUAUGUAUGAAUUCUUAUACACCAUUGUUUCGCAGUUCUUUUUAGAUUGUUAGUUGACAAAGAGCAGAUUGACGAAGUAAGAACCGAUUGGGUGCGCAAUGUUGUUCAACAAUUGUAUAAUUGUUGGGUUAUGUUGAAGGAACCAACAAACAUAAGAAUCUAUUGAAGUAUUGAUUAAUGUAUUCUACGACGUAGUUUAAUUUUAGUUUUGGUUUAGAUCUAUGUAAUCGGUUUUAUUAGGGUGACAUUGUCAAAAUUCUUUUAAUUGAGGUAUGGAUAUUAAUUUUUAACUAUUUACUAUUUUUCAA